UCAGUCUCUUAUUUGUCGUCGGGUGAUUUGCACGCACAUUUUCUUCACAAUAAUUUGAGUUCCUUAAUUUCUUCGCGUCAUUACGUAAUACUUCUAAAUGCUCCUUCCAUUGUGCGCGAGUGAUGUGCGGCGUUCGUUAAAUGCGAAUUGUUUAUACGCAGAGGUAAAACGGGAGUGAUGUUCCGUCGGCCGUCGGAUACUCUAUUUGUAUCCAUUAUUACCUUCUCGUGUUCCGAAUAAUUUCCCCAGAUGCAGCAUUCAAUUCUGUAUCUCCUUGUAUCGAAAUUUAUUGCGAGAAAAUUCUGUGAUGCGAGUGAUAUUCAAAGGAAUGGUAGUUUUUUUAGCAUAGCAUGUUUACGAAGUAUUUGCCAUGCCUUGGAGUCCGAUGUGUCUCUGCAUUGUUAUUUCUGAAUUAUUACCUGUUCUGUUCUGAUUACCUGUUAAAUAGGUAAGUUUGUGUGUGUGUUAUUACAUCAUUAUUAUAUUCAUGAUGUAGCGUGAACUUUUUCUACUACUCCUGUCAGCACACCCUUUUUUUAUUGUAUUCUUAAUUCUGUAAUCGGGUUAACGCGUUUAAUAGUUUGAUAAUUAAUUAUAUAAAAGACGUUUUCCAUGUUCCAAAUUCGUUUUGAUGGUAGAGUACCGGGAACUCUCGUUGCAAAAAAAAAGAUUUAAAUUCUUAUUGGUGUUUUAUAUAUCUAUCACCUUAUUUUAAUUUUUGUUUGACUUCCAUGGAGAAACAGGUAUCAUUGUUCUUGUUUUUCUUCUAUCGCUUUAGUACUUUAUACAAAAUGUAGUUGUAUUUUUCUUGGGUCAUCCUCUAUCGGAAGUCCUCCAAUGAUAAUAUAAUAAUAUAUGUAGUAAUAUUUUUUUAUAAUACCUUGUGUAUUUAUUUUCUUUCCUUUUGAUUGAAAAACUGAUUAUUAUUGGCGUUUUUCUUUUUGAACUUUUGAUUUUGUUUUUAAAUUAGUAAUUUUCUUUUUGUAUCUCCCUGUAUAUUAAUUUUCCUUGAAUUUACAAACAUUAAUAAAAUUUCAAGUUUCCAGAUUUUUUCUUCUUUAAUUUUCUAAAUACUUUUUGUAACACCCAGUAUAUCACAUUUCCCUUAAAUCCAGCUAUAAAUGAGAAAAGUUUAUUGUUUUAAUGUGAGUUUCUUUUUGCAGCAUUGUUUUUUAAAAUAACACCCUGUAUAUUUGUUUUCAUUUUCAAAGAAAAUGAACUAUUUGCUAAUUUCUUUAUUCCGACAGAACUGUACGAAGUGCUACCUGCUCAUAUGUGCGCGGCUUAGCAGGUCGUAAGUCCUGUUUCAAUAUGGCGACAUAUAUUCUGUUGACUUGAAAAGUCUAAACUAGUAUUCUAUUGUUAAUAAAGAAAUAGUAUGAUA